rnacentral:rRNA from 1 species
AGCGAACGCUGGCGGCAGGCUUAACACAUGCAAGUCGAACGCCCCGCAAGGGGAGUGGCAGACGGGUGAGUAACACAUGGGAACGUACCCUUUGGUUCGGAAUAACUUGGGGAAACUCAAGCUAAUACCGGAUAAGCCCUUAUGGGGAAAGGUUUACUGCCGAAGGAUCGGCCCGCGUCUGAUUAGCUAGUUGGUGAGGUAAUGGCCCACCAAGGCGACGAUCAGUAGCUGGUCUGAGAGGAUGAUCAGCCACACUGGGACUGAGACACGGCCCAGACUCCUACGGGAGGCAGCAGUGGGGAAUAUUGGACAAUGGGGGCAACCCUGAUCCAGCCAUGCCGCGUGAGUGAUGAAGGCCUUAGGGUUGUAAAGCUCUUUUACCCGGGACGAUAAUGACUGUACCGGGAGAAUAAGCCCCGGCUAACUUCGUGCCAGCAGCCGCGGUAA